rnacentral:misc_RNA from 1 species
CAGUUGAAGCCACAAAGAAUGUUGAACUUGGUAACAAAGAGUUGUCUCAAGCUAUACAGCGGAAUAGCAGUAGCAGGACCUUUCUCUUGCUUUUUCUGUUUGUAUUUACAUUUUCAAUCCUCUUUCUUGAUUGGUAUAGUUAGAUGGAUCAUCCUACCAUUCCCAUAUCAUGUACACUUAGGCGAGUGCUUAGCUUUGUGGCUUUGAUAGAUGACAGGGGAAAAAAACAAAGAUAGAUUGAAAUUUGAGAAAAUUGGUUUGGGUUAGUAGUUUCUAGUAAAUGUUGAAAUGGAAAACCUUAUUCAUGUUGCUAUGAAUCUCAUUUUGCUGGUCGACAUGUAUUUUUUCAGUGAACAGUUUGUUAAGCUACCCAGUCAUUUUGGCUGAGAGCAUUGUUUGAGAAUUGUGUAUGGAGGAUGAAUGAUUGGCUUAUUUUUCAAUUUACUUGAAAUUUUC